rnacentral:lncRNA from 1 species
GCUGAACAAAAGGCCAGAGUUUUAUUAUGACUCAAAUCAGUUUCCCUGAAAAUUCAGCGUGGGGUUUAUAAGGUGUGGAUGGAAAUUCAUGGGAUGAAAGGGGUUCUGGGGAAGAGGACUGAAUUGUCUACCCAUGCCAAUAACAAGCUGCAGAGCACUGACCAAGUUAUUAUCUUCAACUCUCUCAAAGGGUGAAGAGAGAGAAGCAACAUUGGGUCAACUGGCUUUUUUUAAUCCCUUUCCCUUCUUCAGUUGUGGGCUGGAGAGGGAUGUAAU